rnacentral:rRNA from 1 species
CAGUCGCCGCGGUAAUACAGAGGGUGCGAGCGUUAAUCGGAUUUACUGGGCGUAAAGCGUGCGUAGGCGGCUUUUUAAGUCGGAUGUGAAAUCCCUGAGCUUAACUUAGGAAUUGCAUUCGAUACUGGGAAGCUAGAGUAUGGGAGAGGAUGGUAGAAUUCCAGGUGUAGCGGUGAAAUGCGUAGAGAUCUGGAGGAAUACCGAUGGCGAAGGCAGCCAUCUGGCCUAACACUGACGCUGAGGUACGAAAGCAUGGGGAGCAAACAGGAUUAGAUACCCCUGUAGUCCCUGUCUCUUAUAA